AUGGUACCAAGAGGGAUUACUAGAAGACCUAGUAGUACAGUUAGAGGCCAAAUUUUACUUCAGAAGGUCUGUGAUCUGAUCGACCCUAUUUCUGGACAGUGGGACCAAGAUCUUGUUCAACAAGUAUUCAAUGCUGAUGUUGGCCCUCAUAUUCUGAGUAUUCCAAUUAAGGACGGAUUUGAUGAUCUUCCAGCUUGGCAUCCCGAUCCGAAAGGUAACUUUUCGGUUCGUUCAGCUUACAAACUCAAAAGCUUACAAACUCAAACUUCAGUUGGAUGA
rnacentral:rRNA from 1 species